rnacentral:snoRNA from 1 species
CCAACAUGAUGUAAAACACUUAACUGAACAACCAUGUGGUUAAAAUAUAACGAGCUUUUUAACACUGAUUGGU